rnacentral:rRNA from 1 species
CGGGUAGGCGGCCACUGCAAGUCAGUUGUGAAAUCUCCGGGCUUAACUCGGAAAGGUCAACUGAUACUGCAGGGCUAGAGUGCGGAAGGGGCAACUGGAAUUCUCGGUGUAGCGGUGAAAUGCGUAGAUAUCGAGAGGAACACCUGCGGCGAAGGCGGGUUGCUGGGCCGACACUGACGCUGAACUGCGAAAGCUAGGGGAGCGAACG